rnacentral:sRNA from 1 species
GGAAGGAUCAUUAAUGAAAUGAAUGUCGAAAGGGGUUGUAGCUGGCCUUUCGGGGCAUGUGCACACCUUGAUCGCACAUCCACCUCUUCUCACACCUGUGCACUAUGUGUAGCUUGGGGAUGAUUACAAUAUUGGAAACAAUGUUGAAAGCCCUAGCUAUGAAUUUUUUAUACACCCACAUACAAAGUUAUAGAAUGCAUAAUAUUAUUGUGUGUAAUAGCACAAAUAAAUACAACUUUCAGCAACGGAUCUCUUGGCUCUCGCAUCGAUGAAGAACGCAGCGAAAUGCGAUAAGUAAUGUGAAUUGCAGAAUUCAGUGAAUCAUCGAAUCUUUGAACGCACCUUGCGCUCCUUGGUAUUCCGAGGAGCAUGCCUGUUUGAGUGUCAUAAAAUUAUCAACUGCCUUUUUAUGUUAAAGGGGUGAAGUUGGAGUUGGAGGAUAAUUGCUGGCGCAACUAAGGUUGCUUGUUGGCUCCUCUUGAAUGGAUGAGCUUUUCUGAUAGAUCAUAGCUCAGUAACACUAAUGUGAUAAUUAUCUACGUUAGAUGUGAAAGCUGUGAGUAGAGUAACUAACUCCUAUAGAAAAGAUAACAACUUUACACAAAUUUGACCUCAAAUCAGGUAGGACUACCCGCUGAACUUAAGCAUAUCAAU